rnacentral:rRNA from 1 species
CAGCCGCCGCGGUAAUACGUAGGGUGCGAGCGUUAAUCGGAUUUACUGGGCGUAAAGCGUGCGCAGGCGGCCCGUUAAGACAGGUGUGAAAUCCCUGGGCUCAACCUAGGAAUUGCGCUUGUGACUGGCGGGCUCGAGUACGGUAGAGGGGGGUGGAAUUCCUGGUGUAGCAGUGAAAUGCGUAGAGAUCAGGAGGAACACCGAUGGCGAAGGCAGCCCCCUGGGCCUGUACUGACGCUCAUGCACGAAAGCGUGGGGAGCAAACAGGAUUAGAUACCCUGGUAGUCCACGCCCUAAACGAUGGGUACUAGCCGUUUGGUGCGCGAUAGCGCUGAGUGGCGAAGCUAACGCGAGAAGUCCCCCGCCUGGGGAGUACGGCCGCAAGGUUGAAACUUAAAGGAAUUGGCGGG